UGGGGAAUAUUGGACAAUGGGCGAAAGCCUGAUCCAGCCAUGCCGCGUGUGUGAAGAAGGUCUUCGGAUUGUAAAGCACUUUAAGUUGGGAGGAAGGGCAGUUACCUAAUACGUAUCUGUUUUGACGUUACCGACAGAAUAAGCACCGGCUAACUCUGUGCCAGCAGCCGCGGUAAUACAGAGGGUGCAAGCGUUAAUCGGAAUUACUGGGCGUAAAGCGCGCGUAGGUGGUUUGUUAAGUUGGAUGUGAAAUCCCCGGGCUCAACCUGGGAACUGCAUUCAAAACUGACAAGCUAGAGUAUGGUAGAGGGUGGUGGAAUUUCCUGUGUAGCGGUGAAAUGCGUAGAUAUAGGAAGGAACACCAGUGGCGAAGGCGACCACCUGGACUGAUACUGACACUGAGGUGCGAAAGCGUGGGGAGCAAACAGGAUUAGAUACCCUAGUAGUCCCUGAGCGGGCUGGCAAGGCGCAU
rnacentral:rRNA from 1 species